CUACGGACCUCCUACGGGAGGCAGCAGUGGGGAAUAUUGCACAAUGGGCGCAAGCCUGAUGCAGCCAUGCCGCGUGUAUGAAGAAGGCCUUCGGGUUGUAAAGUACUUUCAGCAGUGAGGAAGGUGGAUAUGUUAAUAGCAUAUUCAUUUGACGUUAGCUGCAGAAGAAGCACCGGCUAACUCCGUGCCAGCAGCCGCGGUAAUACGGAGGGUGCGAGCGUUAAUCGGAAUUACUGGGCGUAAAGCGCAUGCAGGUGGUUUGUUAAGUCAGAUGUGAAAGCCCCGGGGCUCAACCUCGGAAUUGCAUUUGAAACUGGCAAACUAGAGUACUGUAGAGGGGGUAGAAUUUCAGGUGUAGCGGUGAAAUGCGUAGAGAUCUGAAGGAAUACCGGUGGCGAAGGCGGCCCCCUGGACAGAUACUGACACUCAGAUGCGAAAGCGUGGGGAGCAAACAGGAUUAGAUACCCUGGCAG
rnacentral:rRNA from 1 species